AGGAGAGGCAAGGGCCUCUUACUAUGGAUACGAGGACCCAGUUAUAAAGACAGGGGGACCCAAGGCCAAGAACCGCAUGUCACCCAUGUUGAAGGUCCCGGAAGAGGCCCGGCGUCCUGCGUGAAUGAAUGAGGCGGGUGCGCUGGGCAGUUCAUCUGAUCCCACCGUGGUGUGUGAGGUGGGGAGACUGAGGCUCGGCGGCAGCAUUGCCGUCCUCCUGCGGGCCUCCACCGGAGACUUCCCCCUUUCCUCGUCGCUGACUCCUGGCCUGAUAAGGAGGGUCGGCGAGGGCCGGCGAGGGUCGGCAGCCCGAGGCCUUUGCUGGAGGCGCAGCUCAAGGAGAAGCUGUCUUCGCAGACCAGUGAGGUCUCUCUUUUGGCCCCUCGUCAGCCAUGGAUGUGCAGAACCCAGCCUGGGGACACCCUGGGAGCUGGCGCUGCUCAGCAGAGAGCCUGGGACAGUGUCGGUCACGUGACGGCGUGGGCAUUCAAUGUGCAGGCUCGAGCGCCUGGCUCCCCAGAAUUCAGACCCUGGCAUCGGAUCGCACGCUGGUGCAGCCGCUCUGGAAAGCAGUGUGGACGUUCCUCAAGAAGUUAAGAACAGAGCUGCCCUGCGGCCCAGCAAUUGUACUACUAGGGAUUUACCCCAAAGGUACAGAUGUAGUGACCGAAGGGGCACCUGCACCCCGGUGUUCACAGCAGCAGUGUGCACAGCGGCCAGGUUGUGGAAAGAGCCCAGAUGUCCAUCGACGGCUGACGGAUAAAGAAGACGCGGUGCACACACGACAGAGUAUUACUCAGCCAUCAAAAAUACGAAAGCCUGCCAUCUGCAUCAUCGUGGAUGGAACCAGGGGAUAUUAUUCUCAGUGAAAUAAGUCAAUCAGAGAAAGACAAUUGUCACAUGAUCUCACUCUCAA